rnacentral:rRNA from 1 species
AUUGAACGCUGGCGGCAUGCCUUACACAUGCAAGUCGAACGGCAGCAUGGAGAGCUUGCUCUCUGAUGGCGAGUGGCGAACGGGUGAGUAAUGCAUCAGAACGUACCGUGUAAUGGGGGAUAACGUAGCGAAAGUUACGCUAAUACCGCAUACGACCUGAGGGUGAAAGCAGGGGAUCCUCAGAGCCUGCGUUAUACGAGCGGCCGAUGCCAGCUUAGCUAGUUGGUGAGGUAAAGGCUCACAAAGGCGACGAUCUGUACCGGGUCUGAGGGGAUGAUCCGCCACACUGGGACGGAGACACGGCCCAGACUCCUACGGGAGGCAGCAGUGGGGAAUUUUGGACAAUGGGGGCAACCCUGAUCCAGCCAUGCCGCGUGAGUGAAGAAGGCCUUCGGGUUGUAAAGCUCUUUCGGCCGGGAAGAAAUCGCACAGGCUAAUACUCUGUGUGGAUGACGGUACCGGCAUAAGAAGCACCGGCUAACUACGUGCCAGCAGCAGCCGCAG